ensembl:lncRNA
CCAAACCGGGUUGGAGCCGCCAGCACGGAUCCCGGGCAGGUUUGGCGAGCACUGCCUCCGUGUACAGCUGCUUAUUAUCCCUGCUUUAAAGCGCUUUAUUUUCAUGGCGCUGCUCGUUUUCAUCCCAGAUCAAGUCCUAAAGGGACGUUCAUUAAUGUGGAAUUAACCCUGCCCCCUGCUUCCCAGGGCCCUGGUUGAUUUUGGACCAACUAUAAAGAGUGAAUGGCAACAGGGAAGUGAAAAGGAGAAGGAAAAACAUCAGAUGGACUGCUCAGUUACCCUCCAGUCAUUAAUUAACCACAUCCCCCCCCGUUACAGCCCCCCUGGCUCCAGCCAAAGCAUUUUGCCCUUUAGCUUGAAAGGGAAAAAUUCCGUUCUGGGGGUUGCACGUGGUCUCACAUGGUUUGGGGUUUUUUUUUCUCCUCCAGGAGACAAGCGAAGCCGAGCGGCGCCGCAUCGGGGCCGAGUUCGAGCGGCUGCACCGGUUCUUGGCGGAGAAGGAGCGCGCGGUGCUGGGGCGGCUGGCGGAGCUGGACGCCGCCUUCGAAGCGGCCCAAGCAGAAAAAUCUUUGCGGGUGGCCGAGGGGAUUACGCGGCUCCACGGGCUCAUUGGGCAGCUGGAGGUCAAGCGCACACCCCAGGAUAUCGGGAGCAUCCUAAGCAGCUGGAGCGAAAUGAGGCUUCACCUCCCCUCCGAGCUCCCCGCCGAGCUGGAGAAGAGCCUGAGCUCCUGCCGCCGCCAACGGGACGCUCUCUGGGAGGCCCUGAAGGAAUUCAGAGGUGUUUGGGGAAGAAUUCUGUUCUUUUGGGAGGGAUCCAGGGGUAUUUUUGGAGAAUGCAGAGGCAUUUGGGGAGGAAUACUCUUAUUUGGGGGUACUUUGGGAGAAUUCCAAGGCAUUUCGGGAGGAAAAUAUUGUUCAAGGGAAGGCCACAGCAGACACAGCACCACGCUCACGUUCUCGCUCUCCUUCCAGACACGGGGCAACCCGAAACAAAGCCAGGAAGGGGGAAAUGUCCCAGCGCAGAAGAAAAGGGUGAGGCAGGUUUUUUGGGUUUUGUCCCUUUCUUCCUUUCCCUAAAGCAGCCUCACCCUCCCCCCGCUGACCCUCUUGCCUUUCCCUGCAGCGAAACCGCCUCGGGAGCCCGGAGCAGUUCCUCUCCCGCAGCUUUUGGCAGACAGAAAAAGCGUGCGGUGGGAUGAAGAGGAGCGGGACAAGCCUCAAGGGCCGGCCGGCAGUGGCGAGCGGGUCACCCCGGGGAGAUGCAGGACACGGACGUGUUAGCCGGAUUCUGCCAGACGCUGCUUUUCCCUCCGGAUACCCGGGUGCUGCCUGCACCCCCAAACACGAGCUCUCUCCCAGCCCGGAUCCUGCUGAACAAGCCGCAAAAGCCUCCGCUCUGCCCCAAACUUGCCCUCACCAAUGCUGCCCCUUCCCUUAGCGACCGCUCUUGGGGUGCUCGAGUGUUGCCGUUCGCCGUUAAGGUAAUGAAAAAAAAAAAAAAUUAAGGUGUUGAUUGCUUCUGCGGGGGGGGAAGGCAGCGGCCGGGACGUGGGGGUCCGUCGGUGCGGAGAGGCGGACCUGGUUGAAAACCGCGCCGCCGAGCUUCCACCGGCGCCUGCGGGGCACGGCGGACCUGACA